rfam:Yersinia enterocolitica subsp. enterocolitica 8081 complete genome
GAGAUCAAAGAAUAAACCGCUGAUGUUGUUUAAGUUAUUAUUUUGCCAAUCGGACUUUUGGCGAAAUCUCAUACUGUAAAACACCCAAUACGCAAUCAAUUCAACAGCCAUACUGGAGAAAAUGAUGAGCAAAAAGAAAGGAUUAACCACCGCA